GAGGGAGCAGAGGGAUGAAGUUUUCCACAGACUGACUGGAGCCAACUGUGGAGACAGAGAUUCUAAGCUGAAUGAAGUGGGAACCUAGUGAUACCUAGGCACUCAGACCAAUGGAAUCUACAGAAGAAAGGAUCUUUCUCUACUGGAACAACAAAUAUGGUUUGUGAAUCGGUUUUGAAUCUUGGACAGACCUGAGGGUUGAAGCAGUUCACCAGCAUCUUUCAGUGUAUCAUCUGACUAGGUGCCAACAGCACAGUACCUCCAGGAACUAAGAACCUUCCGGUGUCUAGUCAUUACCUGAUGACAUCUGAUGAGGUUGUGCACUCCUGGUAAGCAAUAAACAAACCUUCUAUGUGGACAAAGAUUCAUAUUGUGAUUGGGAAUGGAAGACUGUGAACACUCUUUAUUUUCUAGUUUCAAAUUUAUGAGGACAACCAGUUUCCUCAAAUUUCUGUGGGUCCAUCUGGUUCCUCCUGAGUGCUGAGGUGAGAGUGGCACUAGGCCACUUUAGCAAUGCCCAUUGACAGUUGAAUGUUUGCUGAAUGUGCCACUUUAAUGGAAGACUGUGGAUAUUCUCUUUCCAGGCCAAGGGAUGGAAAUGGAUGUGGGAUG